CUUUUCAUUUCAGAAUACUGGGAUGUAUGUCAUGUUUUUUUUUACAGAUGUUAUUUGGUUGAUUGGGAAAAAAACAUAACAAAAAAAAAAAAAACAAAUAGGAACAAAAAAUUGUACGGCUUGUGAAAUCUAUUAUCAUGCCUUUAUUAUGUGUGUGCCUUUCCAAAGUAAAGAGCAUCAUGCCUUUAUUAUGUUUUUGCCUUUCCAAAGUAAAGAGCCUGUAAUUCACUUGUGGUUUGUUGCUGUACCGUAUACAAUAUUUGGAUUUUUUUGUUAUUAUUUUGUACAUAAAUCGGGCCAUUAGUUUUCUUGAUUGAAUUGUUAAACCUUUUUCAUAAAUAGACCUUGUAUAGUUGACAGUGCAGUAUGAAUUUUUCUCAUUGCUAAGAGCCUUAUGGUUACCUAAAGUUGUUAAUGUCUGUGUAAUUUGGUUUCUUGUGGGGAGUUAAAUAUUAUAUUGCAUAUACUGUACAGAAAAGAAAUGUCAUACACUCGCACAUCAAUAUGUAAAAAAUGUGAAAUAUUUGCCACUGGACGUUAGGCAACCAUCAAUUAAAUCAGCCUGAUCAACAAUAAAGGUAGACACAUUUUCGUGCAGUUUGUAUAAAGUAAAAGAAAAAGGUAUUAACUAACAAAUCAAGUCAAGUAGUUGUUAAACUAUUUACACAUGUGCAUGUCUGUUUCAAAACUAAAAGGAGAUUUUAACUAGUCAAAAAGUAUAUUAAAAAGAAG
rnacentral:lncRNA from 1 species